rnacentral:lncRNA from 1 species
UUAUACCCAAGCUCGGUUUUUUAUUAGAUGACCCAACUCCUAAAGAUUAAACUUCCAAUCUAAUCCAUAACAGAAGCAUUGAAAAAUGGCUCAAACAUUUCCUCUUUAACCCAAGCCUAUGUACCUGGUUUUAUGCCUGCCUCCCCAAAAUGAUGUUGUCUUAAAGAGGUUAAAUAAGAGUUCCCAAGUCUAUAUGCCUUGUUUUAUGCAUGGCUCCCAAAAAUGACACUGUUUUAAAUAGUUUAAUAAAGACUUCCCAGCCUCGACGACGACUUCCCCCAUUUCUUCUUUUUCACUCUGCAACACAAAAAAGGUUAUGAUAAGAUUAGCACAAAACAGAUGCUGAAGGAGACCAACGAUGAAGGAGAGAAAAGAGAAGAUAAGGAGGGAUCGACACUAAAGGAGACCAAAGUCAAGAAUGGAAAUCAUGAAAGACGUAUUACCUUUUCUUCCUUUUUAGCCAUUCUUCAUUGACAACAUUUGGCUUGAAGAAGGCAGAAGAUGCAAAAUCAAGCUUUGAAGAACAUUGAAAUCCAAGAGAGUAGUAGAGAAAGACUCGGCCUCCUUGAACGAUAAAAGGAGGUGAUCCAAGAGCUAAUGAAGAGGAUUGAAAAAAGACUCUUUAGAAAAUAAAAAAGAAAG